CCCUUAGAUGUUCUGGGCCGCACGCGCGCUACAAUGAUGAAUUCAACGAGUUUAUAACCUUGGUUGAAAAGCCUGGGUAAUCUUUUGAACUUUCGUCGUGAUGGGGCUAGACCCUUGCAAUUAUUGGUCUCCAACGAGGAAUUCCUAGUAAACGCAAGUCAUCAGCUUGCAUUGAUUACGUCCCUGCCCUUUGUACACACCGCCCGUCGCACCUACCGAUUGAAUGGUCCGGUGAAAUCUUCGGAUUGAGACUUUGAUUUCUUCACGGAAAACGCUGUUUUAAAAAGUUGAUUAAACCUUACCAUUUAGAGGAAGGUGAAGUCGUAACA
rnacentral:rRNA from 1 species